AGAGUUUGAUCCGUGGCUCAGGACGAACGCUGGCGGCGUGCCUAACACAUGCAAGUCGAGCGGAGACAUGCGACGGAACUGAAGUUUCGGAUGGAAGUGAAGAUGUAUGUUUUAGCGGCGGACGGGUGAGUAACGCGUGAACAAUCUGUCCUUCACAGGGGGAUAACACAGCGAAAGUUGUACUAAUACCGCAUGAGACCACAGUGCCGCAUGGUACAGGGGUCAAAGGAGCAAUCCGGUGAAGGGUGAGUUCGGCGUCCGAUUAGAUAGUUGGUGAGGUAACGGCCCACCAAGUCGACGAUCGGUAGCCGACCUGAGAGGGUGAUCGGCCACAUUGGGACUGAGACACGGCCCAAACUCC
rnacentral:rRNA from 1 species